rnacentral:lncRNA from 1 species
AAUGCAAGUGUUUAACAGAUGCUUCACUAUUAAAAUAUUUUCCCCCCAAGUCUCAAAUAUUGAAGAAUCUCUAACCAGGCUCGAAACGCCGGUCUCAGUGGCUAUUGAGUUACCCACCAAGUUACCCCGGUUAGAGCUGUUUGGGGUGGCUCACGUUAUUGCGGCAAACUUUGGAGAUGACGGCUGAGUCCUCCGGGCGAACAUGUCAAGCCGAUUGUAAAUGCUGUUAUUUCCACAUCCUUCAGGGACACCAGUCCCUACGAAGACCUUGGGCGAUUUUGAAGUGCGGGCACCUCGAUUCCCCGAAUCUGUAGUGUGGCUGGUAUCGGUGUUCCCCUGGUUUAACUAGCCUGUUUGUGGAAGUGACUCUGACCGUUCCCUUAAGAAUCUUUAAUGCUCUUACAUGAGAUGAGCCUCAGAACAAGCUAAGAACCAUCGAAAGAACAUCAAGCCUGGAAGGUGACAGAAGGAGCAAUGUGUUCUUGAAGAUGUCACCUCAGCCCACCUGCUCCAAGGACAGUG